GGCUGACGCGGGGCCCGCGGCGAGGCGGCUGGGGGCGUCGGCUGCGCCCCUCGCGGUCUGCAGAAGACUUAACUAAAGCUUCCUACAAUGAUGUCCUAAGUGCUGAGCGAAUUAAAAAACUCCUUUACCUGCUUAAGUCAACUGAGGAUCCCGUACUCAUUGAAAGAGCCUUAGGUGCUCUGGGUCACAAUACAGCCUUUCUGCUAACCAAUUUCUGAGGACCCAGAAGCCACUGAAAAAAGAAUGUUUCCCCAAUUUUCAGAAGUUUUGGAUCACUUGUCCUGAGCAAGGAAGGGUUGUGCCAAGUUGUCAUGCCUGAGGGGAAGGAACCUGUCACAAACACCUUUGUUCCUUGCUGAAAAAAAAAUCUAGUAUCCAGAAAUUUUUAUAUGUUUCCAUGGGAACCAACGCCUGGUGAGCAUGCAAGUCUGAUGCCCGUGCCAGCCCCCACCUA